GUUUAAACUUAACGUUAAGUAUUUUAAUAUUUAAUUAGAAUUACGAGGAUCUUAAAAUUUAACACAAAAGUAAACAUUAUUAAGAAAAAUUGAUUUUUCAAGGCUAGCAUUGAAUGAUUUUUGUUGUUAACAUAUACUUUGAGUUCAAUGCCAAUAAAUAGUCAGAAAUACAUAUUUGUCAGUAGAAUGUCAAUAAAUACAUUUCAUUCGGACAUUCGUCCUUUUAGAGUACUUCAUAUUUAGUGGCUUGUGCCAACGAACCAAAUUAUAUAAUUUCGUUUUGCAAAGACGUCUCAUACAGCUUCUUAUAAU